UGCUUCUUUGGAUGCCAAAGCUGAUGCUUCAAUAAAGCAGGAAUAUCUUAAGAAAUCCCAUUCAAUGAAAGAACAGGAGAACUCUUUUCCCAUUGAAGCCCAGCUGCUGGAUGAUCUCCCUGGGCAAAGGCUGGGGUUAAUAUACCCCUGACCGUGCCCACCUCCCUUCCCGUGAGGCCCUGGGGGAAAGGGAGUAGCCCAAUCCCAGACGGUAUAAAGGCUCUGGGAGCAGCAGCACUUGAGUGGCAUCUCUGACUUAAAAUCAGGAUGGGUGAAGAGCGUGCGGGAGAAAAGGGCUGUUAAUGAGAGCCGGUACGGCACACGGUGAGGGCAGCAGCCUCUGACUGGGGUCGGAGCCAGUGGCCCGAGAACCUCUCGGCUCAGGGGAGGCGUCAGAGGGACUGGAUGUAAAGCAGAGAUAAACAGAAGAGGCUGGAGGAGCACAGUCAGAAGGUG